GACGAACGCUGGCGGCGUGCCUAAUACAUGCAAGUAGAACGAGUUGCGAACGGGUGAGUAACGCGUGGUAACCUGCCUCAUAGCGGGGGAUAACUACUGGAAACGGUAGCUAAUACCGCAUCCCAUCGGAUGUGCCCCGAUGGGAUUAGCUAGUCGGGGGGGUAACGGCUCAACUAGGCGACGGUCCCUAGCUGGUCUGAGGGGAGGACCAGCCACACGGGAACUGAGACACGGCCCAGACUCCUACGGGAGGCAGCAGUGGGGAAUAUUGCACAAGGGGCGAAAGCCUGAUGCAGCCAUGCCGCGUGUAUGAAGAAGGCCUUCGGGUUGUAAAGUACUUUCAGCGAGGAGGCGUUACUCGCAGAAGAAGCACCGGCUAACUCCGUGCCAGCAGCCGCGGUAAUAC
rnacentral:rRNA from 1 species